GGGGUAGGACAAUCAAUUGUAUUUUGCUUCCGUUCACAUUUCAUUAUUGGUUACUAGGGGAGGCUAGGGAUAACAAGCCGAUAAUUAAUAAUAGGCUCUUUUCACCAAGGGAUUGGGUUAAGGGUAGGCUAGAAAGUUUGCAUGACAAUUGGAUAAAUAAGUGAAGUAAAUAAGAAAAGUAGAUAUAUGAGAGUGGAUAAGAUGAAAUUAUAAACCCCAACAACACCAUUCAUCCAUAGUUUCUUAAAACCAAUUGAAUCAACUGCAUUUAUAUGUUUAUUUUUGUUCUUUGCAUA
rnacentral:lncRNA from 1 species